AAAAAUUUGACAGCUCCGAGUUUUCACGAUCACCCGAUGAAAUCGGGUGCCUACCAAAUCGACCUAUUUUUACACCGACGACGUCGAUUGUCGUAGGCCACAUAUUUUCGUCGCCAGAUUUAUUGUAUGAUUAAGUCGCGAGCAAUCGGUGCCUAUUUCAUCGGUGAAAUAAUCGAUUGAUUGUGUAUUUAUUGCUUAUUUUGAUCGUCUGAUUAUUGAACAGACGAAAUCGGGUCCCUGUGUUUAUAAACAUAGAGUAAAGCAAAGUGUAGUAUUUGCUAUUUAAUUAAGUUAAACAAGAUCUUAAUUGUAAGAUUUUUCGGUUGUGACAUAUUCCGGAACAUCCCGGAGAAUGGUUAUCUUGUAGUAAGCGGUUAAUAAAGAAUCAUGAAGCUCGAGACAUCCCCGCACGAUUACAAAGUGUCUACGGUAUUCCUAGAAUGAUCAGACGUGCCACCCGAUUCGAUAUACAGAUUAAACCCCAUAUUUCGUCGGAUUCCAUGAUUAUCAACACCGAUUAAUUUACAGAUUUAGUCUAAUUUGCUAAAUGAUGAAAAUAAAUAAACCGAUUAAACACCCUA